AGCGAACGCUGGCGGCAGGCCUAACACAUGCAAGUCGAACGAACUCUUCGGAGUUAGUGGCGGACGGGUGAGUAACACGUGGGAACGUGCCCUUAGGUUCGGACUAACUCAGGGAAACUUGUGCUAAUACCGAAUGUGCCCUUCGGGGGAAAGAUUUAUCGCCUUUAGAGCGGCCCGCGUCGGAUUAGCUAGUUGGUGAGGUAAAGGCUCACCAAGGCGACGAUCAGUAGCUGGUCUGAGAGGAUGAUCAGCCACAUUGGGACUAAGACACGGCCCAAACUCCUACGGGAGGCAGCAGAGGGGAAUCUUGCGCAAUGGGCGAAGGCCUGACGCAGCCAGGCCGGGUGAAUGAUGAAGGUCUUAGGAUUGUAAAAUUCUUUCACCGGGGACGAUAAUGACGGUACCCGGAGAAGAAGCCCCGGCUAACUUCGUG
rnacentral:rRNA from 1 species